UGGUGAGGUAACGGCCCACCAAGGCGACGACGGGUAGCUGGUCUGAGAGGACUACCAGCCACACUGGAACUGAGAUACGGUCCAGACUCCUACGGGAGGCAGCAGUGGGGAAUAUUGCACAAUGGGCGAAAGCCUGAUGCAGCGACGCCGCGUGAGGGAUGAAGGCCUUCGGGUCGUAAACCUCUUUCGGCAGGGACGAAGCGAUCAGUGACGGUACCUGCAGAAGAAGCCCCGGCUAACUACGUGCCAGCAGCCGCGGUAAGACGUAGGGGGCGAGCGUUGUCCGGAUUCAUUGGGCGUAAAGCGCGCGUAGGCGGCUGCGCAAGUCGGUUGUGAAAUUCCGGGGCUCAACCCCGGAACUGCGUCCGAUACUGCGUGGCUAGAGGUAGGUAGGGGAGAUCGGAAUUCCUGGUGUAGCGGUGAAAUGCGCAGAUAUCAGGAGGAACACCGGUGGCGAAGGCGGAUCUCUGGGCCUUACCUGACGCUCAGGCGCGAAAGCUAGGGGAGCGAACAGGAUUAGAUACCCUGGUAGUCCUAGCCGUAAACGUUGGGUGCUAGGUGUGGGCGGAUAU
rnacentral:rRNA from 1 species